AAUAUAAGUGGAGGCGUCGCGCUGGCGGGCAUUCCUGAAGCUGACAGCAUUCGGGCCGAGAUGUCUCGCUCCGUGGCCUUAGCUGUGCUCGCGCUACUCUCUCUUUCUGGCCUGGAGGCUAUCCAGCGUACUCCAAAGAUUCAGGUUUACUCACGUCAUCCAGCAGAGAAUGGAAAGUCAAAUUUCCUGAAUUGCUAUGUGUCUGGGUUUCAUCCAUCCGACAUUGAAGUUGACUUACUGAAGAAUGGAGAGAGAAUUGAAAAAGUGGAGCAUUCAGACUUGUCUUUCAGCAAGGACUGGUCUUUCUAUCUCUUGUACUACACUGAAUUCACCCCCACUGAAAAAGAUGAGUAUGCCUGCCGUGUGAACCAUGUGACUUUGUCACAGCCCAAGAUAGUUAAGUGGGGUAAGUCUUACAUUCUUUUGUAAGCUGCUGAAAGUUGUGUAUGAGUAGUCAUAUCAUAAAGCUGCUUUGAUAUAAAAAAGAUCUAUGGCCAUACUACCCUGAAUGAGUCCCAUCCCAUCUGAUAUAAACAAUCUGCAUAUUGGGAUUGUCAGGGAAUGUUCUUAAAGAUCAGAUUAGUGGCACCUGCUGAGAUACUGAUGCACAGCAUGGUUUCUGAACCAGUAGUUUCCCUGCAGUUGAGCGGGAGCAGCAGCAGCACUUGCACAAAUACAUAUACACUCUUAACACUUCUUACCUACUGGCUUCCUCUAGCUUUUGUGGCAGCUUCAGGUAUAUUUAGCACUGAACGAACAUCUCAAGAAGGUAUAGGCCUUUGUUUGUAAGUCCUGCUAUCCUAGCAUCCUAUAAUCCUGGACUUCUCCAGUACUUUCUGGCUGGAUUGGUAUCUGAGGCUAGUAGGAAGGGCUUGUUCCUGCUGGGCAGCUCUAAACAAGGUAUUCAUGGGUAGGAACAGCAGCCUAUUCUGCCAGCCUUAUUUCUAACCAUUUUAGACAUUUGUUAGUACAUGGUAUUUUAAAAGUAAAACUUAAUGUCUUCCUUUUUUUUCUCCACUGUCUUUUUCAUAGAUCGAGACAUGUAAGCAGCAUCAUGGAGGUUUGAAGAUGCCACAUUUGGAAUGGAUGAAUUCCAAAUUCUGCUUGCUUGCUUUUUAAUAUUGAUAUGCUUAUACACUUAUACUUUAUGCACAAAAUAUAGGGUUAUAAUAAUGUUAACAUGGACAUGAUCUUCUUUAUAAUUCUACUUUGAGUGCUA
rnacentral:sRNA from 1 species